rnacentral:rRNA from 1 species
CACGUAGGGGGCAAGCGUUGUCCGGAUUUAUUGGGCGUAAAGCGCGCGCAGGCGGUGGAUUAAGUUGUGGGUAAAAGGCAUUGGCUCAACCAAUGUAAGCCUGCAAAACUGGUUCACUUGAGUGCAGGAGAGGGGAGUGGAAUUCCCGGUGUAGCGGUGGAAUGCGUAGAUAUCGGGAGGAACACCAGUGGCGAAGGCGACUCUUUGGCCUGUAACUGACACUGAGGCGCGAAAGCGUGGGGAGCAAACAGG